GGGUGACAGGUGGUGCAUGGUUGUCGUCAGCUCGUGUCGUGAGAUGUUGGGUUAAGUCCCGCAACGAGCGCAACCCUCGACCUUAGUUGCCAGCAUUCAGUUGGGCACUCUAAGGUGACUGCCGGCUAAAAGUCGGAGGAAGUGGGGAUGACGUCAAAUCAUCAUGCCCCUUAUGACCUGGGCUACACACGUGCUACAAUGGGCGGUACAAAGGGUCGCGAACCCGCGAGGGGGAGCCAAUCCCAAAAAGCCGCUCUCAGUUCGGAUUGCAGGCUGCAACUCGCCUGCAUGAAGCCGGAAUCGCUAGUAAUCGCGGAUCAGCAUGCCGCGGUGAAUACGUUCCCGGGCCUU
rnacentral:rRNA from 1 species